UUCAAAGGCAGGCAAAGGCCAGGAAACCGUAUCUAUGUAUCCUCAAGAUCCGAACUCAUCAGUGGAAAAUUAUAACCCUCAGUUAUAUACGGAAAGGCAAAGCUGUUUCUGCUCAAAUUACUGUCAUGGUGAAAACUGGUGUCAGAGGAGGAUGCUCAUUUCUUCUCCUGGUACCUGAAGACAAGAACAACAAUAACUGUCAGUGAAACAAAAAUCAAACUCUACAUCAGCAGUCUAGGAGCUAAAGCUCCCAUCCAUCACAAAAUUAUUUAUUCACAAUGAGAAGUAGUCAUCUGAAGAACUACUUGAAUAAGAAAAAGAGGCAGAAGGUGUCUCACCAGCUUACCUUCAUGUUUAUGCAAGGCAUCAGAGUAGUGCAAAUCAGCAUGGAAAACAUCAGAAGAUCAGAGGAGCUCUCUUCUGGUGUACAGUCCUCAAAGACAGAUGGUGAGAAGAGCUUUCUCUUUCACCAGUUUGCAGAACACCACAGCCUUCUCCAAAUGUAAAUCUUUGUCUCUUCAUUGUCUUCACGGAAUACAAACUGGUUACUUUGGAUAACGUCUGGGUCUCAGGAGCUAUUUCAGAUGUGCUCAUUUAUUUGACUGCAGCACUGAUUUGCUGGGAUUUUACACUCCCAGAACUCUCCUUCUCUCAGGUGACUAUCUUUACUGUCUCAGUGCUGAAUUCCCUCUUAUGCAAUCUCCAAAUGAAGGCAAAGAUAUGACAUUCUCCAUCAGAUUUUCAGAUAUUACUAAAAUUCUUCCUCCCGUUUCUCCAGUUCGUUCUAUCAGUUGCUCACUAUUCCCCAGUUCGUUUCUAGCUUGUUGGGUUUUUUUUUUGCUUUGUUUUGUUUUCACUGUCUGAGGUGCAAUCACUAUAAAUCAUCAGCCAUUACCUUGUCAAUGCAAUAUUUUAAGACCAGCUCAUACACAUGAGCCAUAAGCAGGCUCCUUACAAUAGCACCUAAGAUAAAUGCUGACUUUUAACUUCAUGAGCACGAGAAACAAGUGAGAGCACUUAUUACACAGUUACUGAAUCCUGGCUAGAGGAAGCCAGGAGACAAAGAAAAGUUCACCAUUUCUUCACGUGGUCUGAAUAUGGCUCUGGGCAUCUUCACCCCCAUAAACCAACACUGAGGAUGAAGGUGUAAGUCUCAGACUAGCCAAAUGUUAUUGGAGUGCUCUACUGCAUAAGGGACAGAUACUUCACUGCUUUGGUUAAUUCACAGCAUUAAGCAGAUUAUGUCCUACUGCUACUAUACACCUUUCACAAUCAUAGCAAGUUAAUUAUCUUCUGGAUGAGCAAAUUCAUGCCAGAAUAGCCUAGACUUCUUCAUAAGUAAGCAACGGCUUUCAUACAGUACCUGCCUUUUUACAGCAAGCAAUAUAGCCUGCUGUCAAAUCAGGCCCCAUGAACCACUUGGCGGGGCUGUCUGAGGCCACAAAAAGCAUCCUGCUGUUCUCAUCCCUGAGGACUUUUUGCCCCACUUCUGUCACAUAGACACCUUCCUGGCAUAUUUUGAAGGAAAAUAUGUUUCUGACCCAAAGCUACACGCACUUUCAGUGUUCAUUCCAAAUCACAAGGAAUCAGACUGCUGGAACCAGAGACUUCCCACUGAUAGCGAGUAUUCAGGACAGAAGCUAAAAUCUCACAGAAAUCCUUUUGUAUAUUAACUGGUCUCCAAAGCACCUAAUCUUGAGAUAUCAGUCAGCAAAAGUCAAUUGAGAUGCUGUUGACAGGUCAUCCCACAGUCCUGUUCACUGUGCCAGCUUGUGUCAUGCUGGAAAGAUUUCAGUUCUUAUGAAUUCCUUGUCAACAUGAGCAAAGUUCUUAUUAGGCCAGUGAAGCAUGCAUUCCCUAAUGCGUGUACCAUGAUGCACUGUGUGUUGAAAAAGGGCAAAGGUAGCUUAAGACAGAGGAGGAAGUAAAGGGGGGGUGACCAACACUCACCUAGUGAUCUUAAAGCCCCUGUAGUUCUACAGUGGUUCACUACAGCUCUCACUUCUCAAAAUGGUGAAGCUUUCAGAUGCUCAACACCAAGCAAAUCUUGGCAACUCAACCCUGUCCACUCAGAUUCUCUCCUGAACAUCUAACUCCAGCACUAUUCUGCCUCCCCUCAGCAAAACACACUGGUUCCUGAUGCUGAGCAGCUUCACAUCAGUGCUGUGCUUCACCCCACAGCUGAUCAUAUUUAAGCAGAGGUGGAACGUAGCAUUCAGCACUUAGUCUGUGAAUUGGUCAGACCCUUCAGGAUGAAGAAUACCACAUAUUUUACCCACACGCAUUUCACACAAGCCAACCACCUAAUUCUUUUUCUCUAGUUUUCAAUUUCUGCAAGACACUGUUAUUUUAUGGAGAGCUGAAAAAUACCCAUAAGUAAGUCAGAGGUACAAUCUUUUUUUUCAUCCUUCCUGCUGCAGAAAAUUCUUCAUCACCUCCCUGUAAACACUAUUUCUGUUUUACUCUGCUGUGCCGCUUGGGGAAACACACUGCUGGGCGCAGGAUCUUCCUGGUAUCUAUUUUACGCCUCCGGGAGUUUUCCAGCAGCCAGCAAUAAUAUAAAAGAUCACCAUGGACUGUGAUGUGACCAAUUACAGCAGACAGCAGUUAUUUAUAGAAAAGUCAGCAGCAGUGAAGCUUUAACACCAGCCGGUGCACCCCUCUGCUUCCCAUCACCUAGUGUGUUUGCUAGCAUCCUGCAACAUCCUGAAUAGCAAGGAUUUUUAAAGCAAUUACCUUGCUACCUCACAAAACUGUGUAGACGCAUGGCAUAUGCCCACAGGACAACGAAGGCAUAUCACUCUACACGCAUGUGAUCCUUGACAUGCCACUACGUAUUUAAUUUUCAUAAAUUGUUGACCCCAGAUGUCACUUUCAUUCCCAAAUCCUUGUCCGCCUACUCAGCAGCAUAGCACGUUAAGGCUCAGCACAGUCAGUGUGCAUAAGACUCUGUAACACACACUAUCCUGAUUUCUAGCUGUUUGGAAAGUGUCUCUUAUUCCCUCCACACCCUGCUAUAAGGUCUGUCCAAAUACUAAAGUACAAAGGAGGACAUGCUAGCUAGGUUUCUUUCUGAAUUUCCCUUAUCAUGAUCUAAACCAAAGUAGCUGAUACAGCUUUCAUUCUGUUGAUGCAAUCAGAGAUGGAAAAAUCACCAAAAAAGCUAGAAAAAUCACAGCAACCAAGAGGGCAAUGCUACUUACUGGGGACAUACCCUGCCUCAACAAAUCCCUGCUAUAAGACAGACAGUGGUGAUGGUCCCUAACAUGUAAAUGCCUGUUUUCUGAGCUGACGCAGGAUAAGGGAAGUUUGGGUGCUCAAGUACCUGACAUGAGUAACCUUAGAAAUAUGGAUUCAAGAUGUAAUUUUUAAUUAUUUUUCUUCGUGAAUUUUUCAUAUGCUCUAAGUGCAAAACUGCUCAUGGAAACUGAGGGAAAAAGUUUAUGGCCUCUUCCUAAGGUGAGCAUUUUACAGCUGAGCACAAUGCAGAAUGAAAUGCAAUACUGCCAUCUACUGCCUGGGCUCAAUAACAUCUCCUCUCCAUCUGUCACAUUCAGCUGAAGAUGAGAUCACUGUUUCAGGACAGGGAAUCUUCUAAUCAUAACAAAAAUGUGAUCUUGACUGAUCCAAAGGUCACAUUACAUUAAUACAGUCUUCACAGCUUUUUUUUAAUAAUGUAAUUAACAAUUUCUGCCAUACCAUUAAGAGAAUUAGAGACCAAAAAGCUCAAGGGGUAAUGACCUAUUCAGUUUCAGUUUUUAAAAUAACCUCAAAGCAACACAGACUUUUUUUUCCACUACUACCACCACCUUUAAACUCCCAGAUACAUAAUUCUUAGAUGUGCUUUCUAUUUGUGUUCAUGGAUAUCAUACUUUUAGCAAAGACCUGUAUCAGCCAGUAGAGCGGAUCUCCAAUCUGGUUAGCAGUUUUUAUCUUGUGAACCAGUAGGUCAGGUUAGAACACCUUAUGCUACACUAAGAAGAAAAACAUCACUAAUUAGCAAUCUUGAUACCACAGUUUGAUGCAGAAAGAGACUUACUUCUACAAUGAUGCUACAGUUCACUACCAACACAUUCUCCAAGUCAACAUUCUCAUUCUCUUAACCUAUCAUCUCCCUAAAGUGCAUCUGUGCCUCUGCAAACAAUUUGGAAAGCUUUAAGUGAAUUAAAUAAAGCCUUCAGUAUAUCCUGGAUGAUUUUUGCUCACAGUAAGUUUGCUCUUCAGCACCCAAAGUCACACAUUCAAAUGGUAUUCCUCAACAAGUGGUACUGUUAGUUGGUUACUAAGUUUUAGUGUGAGCAUCCUUGGGUUCAAACUGCUCCUUAGCGGCAGUGCCGUGCAGGAUGAUGGCUCCCAUGAAUAAUCCACCACCAGAACACAGUGAGGUUCAAACUAUUCAGAGGCUGUGGCUAGAAAGCUAGGUCUGAGGCACACUGAUAUGACUAUACAAGGAAAGUCAGCAUCAGAAAGCAGCAACACAAAGCCUCACCCUCCAUGAGUUCCUUGAAGACUUCAGCCAGAAUGGCAUUAUACCAUGUGUCUUUAUAUCAGCUGAAAUCUGUUCUGAGUUCAGUCAUUUUUUUUUCUUCUAAUCCACUAUACACCAAAAUUUACAGUCCAUAUCUAUUUUUAAAGAAAGAGAAUCCUGGGUAAGUUGUUUUGAGUCAACUGCAGUUUCUGGCAGGGUUUUGUGAUGGAAAAUAGACUCGUCUGAAGCUCCACACUACUCCUGGGCAGGAUACAAAAGGAGAAGGGCAGAACUGCGCAUGUGCGUGAAAAAUUGCAGAUGAAACCAGGGGACCAUGUAAAAUCUAUAACAACAAUAAAGAACACAGCUCAGCUCAUGUCAUCACCAUAUGAGCUUAUUGUCCUGGGCAAGGGUUCAACAAUGGAUUUGGCAAAGAUGAUUCUUUCUGAUCAGCAUUACAUCAAUCCACAGCUACAAAUAUACCAAAUAAUCUAGCAUCAAAGCUGUCAGGGUUGUAUUACCCUGCACUUCUGGGUUCUGAGCAGCAGAAUACUGCCUGCCUCCUGGAUUUUUAACAACAGUGGCUUUUUCACUUGGCUAAGACAGGCAAGAAUGUUUGUCCUGACCUUGCUAAGUUGAGAGGUGAAUUAUCACAGCAUGUCUUACUUCCCCUUCAGAUCCCAUCGCUGAAAUGGCAGGGGACAGGGAAUCACCUCUGUCCUUGUAAUUAUGCUGCAUCAAAGAGACUGGUUGAUCUGAGAGAAGGCUGUGACCAGGCAAAAAUAAAAAUACAGAAGCAAAAAUCAGGCACUUCUACUGCUUGUAACUGAUGUCAGCUCAGUCUUUGGUAGAAACUAGCUGUCCUGUUCCUCUUUGGACUUCACUCUAAGCUAAGGCCUGUAAGUCAGAAGCCAGGCAAGGACAGAGCACAGCAUGGUACAUCCAUCUGUUGGAAGCCAAAGCCUCUCUGAAGCUCUCAGUCUCAGAUACCUCAGUGAGCAGAAAGACGUAAGAUUCCUCCCUCCCACCCCCAGCAUGGCAGAGCAACAUGCUUUGCAACCUAUUUGACAACUCACAAGGAUAUUACCUAUCGAAGUUCUAAUGUCUUUGAUGCCUUAACCGUUCAGGCAGGACAGGCUAAAUAUCAUCUCGCAGAAACUUCUGAUGUCUACAGGGAGCAAGACCCCUUCUUGACCUUUUCUCUUGCUAUUUUGCUGGUUUUGUUCUGUGCUUCUCACAGGUGAUCCAUUCCAGAUGCACAAAAGAGGUCAAACUAGCAGAGGUGGCUUGUGCCAAAGGCUUUGGCUUCUGCCAAGAGACACUUGAAAAGAAAGACAUUUGUGCUAGUGACAUAGAGCAAAGAGGGACAAUACGUCUUUUACUCCAAUUGAUUUACCCACCAACCUUCUACGCAAACAAGGAUAAAAGCAGCAUUUCAGUCCACAUUACAGCAGAUGGGCUCUGCAUGCAGCACGAGAGAAAUAGCUAUAAAAAAAAAUACUGAGCCAGCCCCAAGAUCUGGAGAGGAUGGGAGAAUCAGAAGGCUUUUUUAUACUGUGCAGCUUGAAGAUGUCAUUUACCUAAAGUGCAUCUUAGUUAAGAUAGUUAUCAAAAAGGGACAUGCCAAGCAGCGAGCAACUUAGAAAAUUAGUCAGUUGAACUAAUCCUUUUAGGACUUGUUUUUCUCUCCUCCUUGCACAAAUCUAAGAGAGGAUUACUGGUUCUAGAUAGGAAGACAGAAGGUAUGUUGCACAUCUGUAUCUCCUAAAAGCAGCAUGGAACUAAUGCCAUUAAGCCAUGGCCACUCUGUUUACCAGAGAGCACAAAUAGCUCCCAAAGUGUUUCUCCACUCACGGUCACUGACCUUUAACAUACCACAGUGCAGAGAGGCUGAGCUAUUAAUUUACAAAUCAGAUACUGUUGAAUGAAUACCGACAUCCCCAAAUGUAUUCAUGAUGGUGAAUGCAACCUCUGAUCUCCUCCAUGAGAAUUUUUAAAAAAGUUCAACUUUGUCUAAGUGUCAAGUGGCUGGGAGAAAGGAAUCCUUCCAGAUGGAGGUUACUGAUCUUCUAAAAAUGAAGUCUCCAUUUUAAAUUAAAACCAAAAAGACUGCUUCAAAAAACCAUCACCACCACUAAAGUAAAUAAAUAAAUAAAUAAAAUCCUUCAAGGCACAAAAAUUCAAUAAAGCAAGGAUAGAGUCUAAGACAAAUAGAGAAGAUUAAACAGAGACUUUACCAUCAAAUCAGAUAGCAAAAAGAAACAAAUUGAAAAGCAGGCUAAUUACAAACUUCUAAUUUUUUCUUCUGCGUACCUAAAAUUUUAUUGCAUACUUAUCUGCAGCAAGAAAUACAUAAAGAAAGGCCUGAGUUAGUACUAAACGACUAGAUAUAUCUGGGUAUGUAUCUAUAUAUCUCUAUAUAUUCUUUGUUUAUGCAGUUGAGUGACAAGUUUGACAAAACAGAAAUUCUGUUUGGACAUGUUAAUUUCAUCUUUUUCUGCAACAUCCUUGAUAUGCUAAUGGCAAAAAGGAUAGAGUUAGGUAAUGAAGUUUAGACUGUUCUGCUCACCCACUCCUUCUUCAUCUACAGGACACAAAAAUGUGAUUUGAACAAACCUACAUGAUUCCAAUUCAAAAAUAAAC
ensembl:lncRNA